AGAAAAGGAGUCUGAUGCUUAAGAAAGUUGAACGAAUAUAUAAUGAUAUUGGAGUCGGACAUUUGCUGUGUUUCUUUCUGUGAUGAUUUCUCCUUUAUGUUUUAAGCUGUUCUGUAAGAUUGUGUCUUUCGUUGGUUGCAUUAGCACCUUUCUAUUGUAAUUUGCAUUGUCAAUUUUAUAAAGUUCGCAUAUGGGUUCUAAGUAAUGUUUCGAGUAAAUGUGUCUAUUCGUUUGCUAUCUCCAUAGAACUCCUAGUAUAUUUGGGUAUUACAGUGUCAUACUCCUAGUCUCCUAUCCACAUGAUAUAAUCGUAUUAGCAAUAGUUUCAAAUGAUGAUAUCCAUAAGAGUGGAAAAAAAUGUAAAAAACAAAUACUUAAUUCUAAGACCUUUCAGCAUGUCCCAUCUGGCUUCUUGAGAUUUUGCCCCACAAAAAAUUCUCAUAAAUUAUUUUUCAAGAUGAAUCACUGUCAAAGACUCAAAACUGAUUAGGAACAAAGAGUAAUACCGACAUAAUUUUGAAAGAAACUAUGAUAAAAUAAAUAAGACAAAGAGUGUAGCAAUCAGACAUCAGCGUUUUAAUGAAUGUUUCAUAAUUAUAUUUAUAUUUGUUUGAAAAUAUUAUAGCCAUUUGUUCCACUAUGAACUCCAGUCGUAUCAACUUGUUCCUAUAUUUAAAAGAAAAAAUUCUAUGGUGUCUUUGAUGGUUAUUUCAACAACAAAAAUCAAAGAAGUUGUAGUCUUGUAGAUAUCAACGGAGAGUAGGUAUAUUACAAACGUGCUGCGUUCAACAUAUUUCUCCAAUCCAGCUUUAGUGAAUUAAAUCUGAGGGGGGUUUGUCUGGCAUCUUGAAACCUUCCAACUCGAUCAGAGGCUAACAGUUGAGAAAAGGACUAAAAUCUUAUUGGGCCUGUUGGGAUUCAAAAGCCUAAAUCUUUAGAAAACCCUUUCUCUCUCUCUUCGAUUAGCCCCCCCCCAAGGACUUAGGGAGUGGAUGCAAUCCCAUGGAUGCAUAUUUGUGGAUGUCACACCUAUGGAAGGAACUAAGUGGAAGCAACGAUCAAUUGACCUUGAAGAUAUCAUGGAGCUAGACACACAGGAACACUUUGGACGAGCUGGACGAAGUGACACUUACUUGGGCUAGCUGGUCGAGCUGAAUCAAAGUGACACUUACAUAUCUGAGCUGGAUGAGCUGAGUGAGCUGAGUGAGCUAAGUGACACUAGCUUUGAGCUAAAUGAGCUACGUGACACUGAAGAUGAAGCUGGUUUAGUUGCUGGGCGAAAUGGGUCUUUUUCAGCCCAAAGAAAAAUUCAUAACAAAUUCAAUUUGGGUCGGUUUUACACCAAAUUCGACCAGGCCUUUGGUGAUGGUCUCCUGCCCAUUUUCAUCAAGAAAUAUCAACAAAAGAAGUCACAGACGUGGUCAGACAAAGGGUUAUUCAACAACACACUUAUUUCUGGUCAAAAGUCUUAGUCUUUGUUUUUGUUUUCUAAGUUUUUAGUUUUCUACAAAAACUCUUAGUCUUUCUUUGACCACAAGUACUAUAAAUAUGUAAUCUCUUUCAUGAAAUAAGACAGAUUUUUUUUUUUCCAUUUUUUCUGAGUUUAUCUCCUUUGUUCUUUGUAAAACAUUUUUCGUUUUUUGCUGAGGUUAUCUCCAAGUAAAUUUUCUAUAUUUCGUUGGACUUGUGUGUCAUAUCAAGUAACGAUUAGAAACCUUUCCUUUUUUGGACUUGUGCUUCAUAUCAAGCAACAAUUGAAGUUUGGUAGUAUCAAUAGACUUUUCUCACCUUUUGUGUCACCACCAUUCGAUCUAUCAUUUCUCUCUUUUGGCGAGAUCAUAUCCCUCCAGUCCGUUUGAGUGAUCCUGUCCGAUUUAGUACGUAUCAACGUGGAUAUUUAAUUUUUAUUACGAAUAAUUGAGUUUGUCUAUCGCUGAUAGACAUAUUCUUAGAGAAUUAGUCAGUUGGGUUUCGCUUCGCUCGAUUUCCGUGGUUAUAAAAAUAUUCUAUGUUGUUGAACUUAGGUGGGGGUAUUGAAUUUAGAAAUUUUAUAGAAUUUGAAGGAAUUUUAGUUUGCAUUAAAUUCUAGUGUUAUUCAAUUGUGUAUUUUACCAAUUCUUUCAAAUUCUUGUGUUAUUCAAUUAUGUAUUUUAUCAAUUCAUUUAAAUUCUAAUGUUAUUCAAUAUUUGGUAGAAUUAAUAGGAAUGUUAUUUGAAAAGAAUUUAAUGGAAAUGUUAUGUAAAAAUGCAAAGGAUCAAUUCCUUGCUUUUACGAUGGGAUUUGUCUCUCUCUUAUUUUCAAAGAACGGAGACUAUCAAUAUUGAUGAAAUUGUUCAUCAUCAAGCAACAUCUUUGGCAUGCAACCGUGCUUGCAUUAAUCUUGUCAACCAAACCGUAUGUUCGUGAACACUUGGCAUGUUCGUGAACGUGUUUUCACAUUUCUCAUUUUUGUCAUCAAGAAUAGUACGUAACAUUUUUUUAAAAAAUAUUUUGUUUGAUUCUCUCCUAUAAAUUCCAAUCAAGCACAAUCAUAAAACAACUAUAAACUAGCUCUUAUCUAUCUUUUGUAUAAACUUUUUUAGAUUACUUCUCCUAUAUAUAUUACAUAUCUAUCACUUCUCAAAGCAAAAAAAAAAAAUCUAUCUACAAAAGGUAAAAUUUUCCCAAAAGUUUUUUUUUGGUAAAAAAAAUUCCCAAGAGUUUAGCUACUAAUUUUGUAUUUUGUUGUUAUCAUUAGUUCAUAGCGUUAAUGUAUUAUCACUUGUAAUCCAUCAAAUUUAUUUACAUUCUUUUAAAUUCUAUGAUAAAAAGUAAACAUAACAAUUAGGCAAUUGCAUUAAAAUCUUAUAAAAUCUUUUAAAAUACUACAAAAGCUAUUACUUGUGAAUUCUUUCAAAUUCCCGAAUCCAAUACCACCCCCUUUGCUUCUGCGACGUGGCUUACGAAUCUAGUGGCCCCACAUUACCGACAUUCAUGCAGUAAGCCUAUCAAAACCGACGUUAAGUUCUGGUGCUGACCCUUUAACGGUCUUCAGCCAUGUGUCUACCAUGAGUUGGCUUAAUCUAUUUAUUUAUGCAUUGAUUUUACUUGCAAUUAGUCAUCCCAUUUACUACGGUUUUAGGCUUUUUUUCUCAUGAAUUAUUUACUGAGACGCGUCGUGAUAGUAAUGGCUAUAUAAAGUUGCUCUAGUUCGGUUAUAUUUACAGAGGUAACGUGAAAAGGCCUUAAUAUAAUUGGAAACAAACUUUAAUCUUUUGUCUACGAAAUAAUAAUAAUCUUGUCUACGAAUCUGAUUUCUGGGAUGGACAUUUUAUCCGUUAAAUUUGAUUCGAUUCGUUAUUCGUUUCGAUUCGAUCAGAAAUUUCCGGAUAUCCAUAAACUUUCGAAACAAAGCAAAUAUUAAAAAUCAAUAUCCGUUAAAAUUGAAGCACAUCACAAAUAUUAAAAAUUUUGGAAACGGAUAUCCGAUCCGAUCUGUCAAUAUAUAAAUACAUGUAUAUCUUGAUUAUAUUUAAAGUUUUUAAUGUAUAAAAUUAUAUAAUUAUUAUUCUAACAUAUGAUUUGAUAAAGUCUAUUCACAUUAUUACUUAUAUAAAAAUAUUACAUAAAAGGAAUAGAACACAUUUAUGAUAAUUAUAAUUUUUUUUUAAGUUUUGUGUUAUUAUAAUUGUUAACUAAGUUCAAAAAAUUACAAAAUAUGUAGAUUCACUACUGCUUUUAAUUUUUUUUAUCAUAUAUAUCACGCAAAAAAAAUAUUUUACAAAACAAAUUUGUAUCAAAAUUUUAAGAUUAUUUGUAUUAAUCAAAACAUAUGAGAUAUCCGUAAGUAUUCGUAAAUAUCCGCAAAUAUCUAUUUAUUUUUCGGAUAUCCGUUUUUUCGAAUAUCCGUAUUUUUCCGAAGCAAAGCAAAUAAAAAAAUUAGAUAUCUGUGACAUACGAAGCAAAUCACAAAUACUUUCAAAAAUCCGGAUAUCCGAUCCGUGCUCGUGCCUAAACAUUGGAAACUUGCAUCCAUCACAUCCUUAGUUCAGUUACAUGUAUCCAAACUUUAUAUUUUUUCGCAUACUAUCUUAAUGUAAGUAUAUUAUACAACAAGUAUGAAAAAGACAAGACAAAAGUUAUAAAAAUACUUAUCUUUCAAAAAAAAAAAGUUACAGAGAAACGAUCAAUGGUGUAAGAGUUAUAAUCAGAACUAUCUUUAGCUAUGUGUCUCUUUAUCUAGUUAGUUUAAUAAUAUGCAAUAAAAUAAAUUAAAAGGAUGUACUUCGACCACGUAUUAGUUUAAUAAUAUGCAAUAAAAUAAAUUAAAAGGAUGUACUUCGACCACGUAACUUAUAGGCCUAAACGUAACCAAUCUUCGCUUCCAUACAUAAAGUACACGAGUAUGCAAUAUUUAAUAUCUGGUUUAACUUUUCAUCUAUAUACAAUAACACAUCCUUUAAACUAAAAUAAAAAAUAAUAAUGGAUGAUUUUAUGACAUUUUAAUCUACCAACUUAAAGAAAAUAGUACCAUUCUGAAAUUUAAGAAAAAAAACAAUCCAUUUUUUGCUAUAUUAAAAAAUCAAUUAAAUCUAUACAGCGUAACCUCCGCGUUGGCCAGGACCCUCAAGCUCACACUAUAAAACCCACUCUCGUCUCUCAUCACAAUACUCAUCGCUGCUCUUUACUAUCACCUUAAAAGCAAAGUUAAAGCUCUCAUAGUCUCUGUUUAUCAUUUCUCGUUAACUGUUCAAUAUUGAUCAAGAGUAACUAACGAACCAUGGCCGAAGAGUACAAGAACGCUUCUGAGGAGUUCAAGAACGUCCCUGAACACGAGACCCCAAAGAUCACCACCACGGAGGAAUCAUCCGCGGUGACGGGAGAGGUUAAGGAUCGUGGCUUGUUCGAUUUCUUGGGGAAAAAGGAGGAAGUAAAACCUCAAGAGACGACCACGCCGCUAGAGUCAGAGGUCGAGCAUAAAGCUCAGAUCACGGAAGAGCCAGCGCUUGUGGCGAAGCACGAAGAAGAGGAGCAUAAGCCUACUCUCCUCGAGCAGCUUCACCAGAAGCACGAGGAGGAAGAGGAGAACAAGCCCAGUCUCUUCCAGAAGCUUCACCGAUCCAACAGCUCUUCUUCCUCUGUAAGGAACUAAUAUAGUCCGUACGGUUAUUUAUAUUUUAGCAUAUAGUUUUUUAGUUAAAUCUGUAAACAACUUCAUCUCAUUAAACCCCUUUUUUAAAUCUGUUAAAAUUUAAUUUCUAAAAGUCAAGCGAGGAAGAAGGUGAAGAUGGUCAAAAGAGGAAGAAGAAGAUCGUUGAAGGAGAAGAGAAGAAGGGAGUGAUGGAGAAGAUCAAGGAGAAGCUUCCAGGUCACAGCGAAAAACCAGAUGAUUCUCAAGUCGUCAACACUGAGGCUGCAGUACCAGUGUCGGAUGAAACGGCGGAGCAUGCGGAGGAGAAGAAAGGGAUUCUUGAAAAGAUCAAAGAGAAGCUUCCAGGUUAUCAUGCCAAGAGCUCUGAAGAGGAGGAGAAGAAAGAAAAGGAGUCUGAUGCUUAAGAAAGUUGAACGAAUAUAUAAUGAUAUUGGAGUCGGACAUUUGCUGUGUUUCUUUCUGUGAUGAUUUCUCCUUUAUGUUUUAAGCUGUUCUGUAAGAUUGUGUCUUUCGUUGGUUGCAUUAGCACCUUUCUAUUGUAAUUUGCAUUGUCAAUUUUAUAAAGUUCGCAUAUGGGUUCUAAGUAAUGUUUCGAGUAAAUGUGUCUAUUCGUUUGCUAUCUCCAUAGAACUCCUAGUAUAUUUGGGUA
rnacentral:lncRNA from 1 species